UUGUUGUGCCAAUGAGAAACGGGGAACUUGACGGCAAAGGGCUUCUUUCUGUUAUUGUUAAGGCCGAAGGGACCAUGGAAUAUUUCAAGGAAAUGUUAUCGAAAGAAGUACCAGAUUCGAAAAUUCUAGAGGCUACGCCUGGAGUACCGCUCGAAGUUCCUUCACCUGCGGAUUACAGCAGUUCGUGAUGCACAAAACCUUGAAUUAAUUACUAAAUUUUAUAUUCUUUACAUACAUGUAUAUUGUAUACAUAUACUACGACGUAUAAAUAAUGUGUGUGAUCAAUUCGGACAUAUUAUAGAAAUUAUCGCUGAAACAGAUAAAAACGCAAUUGUCGAAUCACAAACAUCAACAUGUGCUUCAUUUUCUUUAA